CAGCAGGCGCGAAAACUUUACAAUGCUGGAAACAGCGAUAAGGGGACCUCGAGUGCCAGGUUACAAAUCUGGCUGUCGUGAUGCCUAAAAAGCAUUGCAUAGCAAGGGCCGGGCAAGACCGGUGCCAGCCGCCGCGGUAACACCGGCGGCUCGAGUGGUAACCGUUAUUAUUGGGUCUAAAGGGUCUGUAGCCGGCCGGAUAAGUCUCUUGGGAAAUCCAGCAGCUCAACUGUUGGGCUUUCAGGAGAUACUGUCUGGCUCGAGGCCGGGAGAGGUGAGAGGUACUUCAGGGGUAGGGGUGAAAUCUUGUAAUCCUCGAAGGACCACCAGUGGCGAAGGCGUCUCACCAGAACGGACCUGACGGCAAGGGACGAAAGCUAGGGGCACGAACCGGAUUAGAUACCCGGGUAGUCCUAGCCGUAAACGAUACUCGCUAGGUGUCGGCCACGGUGCGACCGUUGUCGGUGCCGUAGGGAAGCCGUGAAGCGAGCCACCUGGGAAGUACGGCCGCAAGGCUGAAACUUAAAGGAAUUGGCGGGGGAGCAC
rnacentral:rRNA from 1 species